rnacentral:rRNA from 1 species
AUGUGCUGCAAUUCAAAAUGUGUUCAUUGUCUAUGUGGAUCCAACGGUGAAGAGGCAGCAACGGUGGUCCAUCAUAAAAGGUUCGAAGCAUGGAUCGGCAAUGCCGCAUCCAUGGGGGGCAGGCUUACUCUGCUCGAUUCGGUGCUUACUCAGCUUUCUAUCUUUCACAUGUCUAUGUGGCUUAUGAAUAAAACAUUCAUUUAAAAGCUGGAUAAACAUAGGCGUAGAUUUUUCUGGCAAGGCUGCAAUAAGAAGAGAAGAUACCACCUUGUCAGGUGGGACAGGAUUUGCAGAUCCAGAGACAAGGGAGGUCUGGGGGUUAAAGACCUCAGAAAACAAAAUAUCAGUUUGAUGGUUAAGUGGUGGUGAAAACUGGAGACCCAAAGCGGGUUGUGGCAGGAUAUUGUACGUGCUAGAUACCUUAGAAACAAAACUGUCACUGAGGUUUGUGCUAGGUUUUCUGAUUCACCAUGCUGGAAAGCUCUUUUGAAGGUAAAAGAGAUGUACUUGGUGGGAAGGAAGAUUAAUAUAGAAUCUGGGAAUAUUGCCUGGGUUUGGAUGGAUCCCAUCAAUGGGUUGAUUCCUUUUCGUGUCCAAUUCCCACAACUAUUCUCUAUUUGCACUAACCCUGAAUGCACGGUGGAUAAAGUGAAACUUGUAGAACCCAGUAGCUUCUUCAGACGGGGGCUUAAUGCUGAAUUAGCUGAUCAAUGGAGGGCGAUCCGAGACACGGUCGAUAGCCUGACUCUAUCCAGCACUAGUGAUCGGGUGUCUUAG